rnacentral:rRNA from 1 species
AUUGAACGCUGGCGGCAGGCCUAACACAUGCAAGUCGAGCGGACGAAGGGAGCUUGCUCCUGGAUUCAGCUGCGGACGGGUGAGUAAUGCCUAGGAAGCUGCCUGGUAUUUGGGACUAACGUCCGGUAACGGGCGCUAAGAUCGCAUAGGUCCUUAGAGAGAACGGGAGGGAUCUUCGGUGCUAACGCUAUUAGAUGAGCCUAGGUCGUAUUAGCUAGUUGGUGUGGUAAAGGCCUACCAAGGCGACGAUCCGUAACUGGUCUGAGAGGAUGAUCAGUCACACUGGAACUGAGACACGGUCCAGACUCCUACGGGAGGCAGCAGUAGGGAAUAUUGGACAAUGGGCGAAAGCCUGAUCCAGCCAUGCCGCGUGUGUGAUGAAGGUCUUCGGAUUGUAAAGCACUUUUAGUUGGGAAGAACAAAAGUAAGUUAAUCCAUUCCUGUCUUGACGUUACCAACACAAUAAGCCCCGGCUAACUUCGUG